rnacentral:sRNA from 13 species
GCUGGGCAUGGUGGCGCGUGCCUGUAAUCCCAGCUACUCAGGAGGCUGAGGCAGGAGAAUUGCCUGAACCCAGGAGGUAGAGGUUGUGGUGAGCUGAGCUUGCGCCAUUGCACUCCAGCCUGGGAAACAAGAGCGAAACUCUGUCUCAAAAAAAAAAGAAAGAAAUUCCUGUUUAUUUAUUUAUUUGAGAAGGAGUUUUGCUCUUUUUCUCCAAGCUGGAGUGCAAUGGGGUGAUCUCGGCUUGCUGCAACCUCUGCCUUCUGGGUACAACUUAUUCUCCUGCCUCAG